UAGGGAAUCUUCCGCAAUGGGCGAAAGCCUGACGGAGCAACGCCGCGUGAGUGAUGAAGGUCUUCGGAUCGUAAAACUCUGUUAUUAGGGAAGAACAAAUGUGUAAGUAACUAUGCACGUCUUGACGGUACCUAAUCAGAAAGACACGGCUAACUACGUGCCAGCAGCCGCGGUAAUACGUAGGUGGCAAGCGUUAUCCGGAAUUAUUGGGCGUAAAGCGCGCGUAGGCGGUUUUUUAAGUCUGAUGUGAAAGCCCACGGCUCAACCGUGGAGGGUCAUUGGAAACUGGAAAACUUGAGUGCAGAAGAGGAAAGUGGAAUUCCAUGUGUAGCGGUGAAAUGCGCAGAGAUAUGGAGGAACACCAGUGGCGAAGGCGACUUUCUGGUCUGUAACUGACGCUGAUGUGCGAAAGCGUGGGGAUCAAACAGG
rnacentral:rRNA from 1 species